rnacentral:rRNA from 1 species
GAUGAACGCUGGCGGCGUGCCUAAUACAUGCAAGUCGAGCGAACAGACGAGGAGCUUGCUCCUCUGACGUUAGCGGCGGACGGGUGAGUAACACGUGGAUAACCUACCUAUAAGACUGGGAUAACUUCGGGAAACCGGAGCUAAUACCGGAUAAUAUAUUGAACCGCAUGGUUCAAUAGUGAAAGACGGUUUUGCUGUCACUUAUAGAUGGAUCCGCGCCGCAUUAGCUAGUUGGUAAGGUAACGGCUUACCAAGGCAACGAUGCGUAGCCGACCUGAGAGGGUGAUCGGCCACACUGGAACUGAGACACGGUCCAGACUCCUACGGGAGGCAGCAGUAGGGAAUCUUCCGCAAUGGGCGAAAGCUUGACGGAGCAACGCCGCGUGAGUGAUGAAGGUCUUCGGAUCGUAAAACUCUGUUAUUAGGGAAGAACAAAUGUGUAAGUAACUAUGCACGUCUUGACGGUACCUAAUCAAAAAGCCACGGCUAACUACGUG